CGGCUCCCGUAGGAGUCCGGACGAAGUCCUCCCACAGCUGGAGUCGGAGACGAGAUCUGGCUCCCGUGGGAGCCCGAGCGAAGUCCACCUGCAAUCAAAGUCAGGGGCGAAGUCCGGCUCUCUUAGGAGUCCGGAUGAAGUUUACCAGCAGUCGAGGUCGAGGAUGGAGUCCGGCUCCCAUAGGAGUCCGGGCGAAGCCUUCCAGCAGU
rnacentral:lncRNA from 1 species